rnacentral:rRNA from 1 species
GUGUCAGCCGCCGCGGUAAUACGGAGGGUGCAAGCGUUGUUCGGAUUCACUGGGUAUAAAGGGUGCGUAGGCGGCGCGAUAAGUCAGGGGUGAAAUAUGUCGGCUCAACCGACAAACUGCCUCUGAAACUGCCGCGCUUGAGGUCGGGAGAGGAAGGUGGAAUUCCAGGUGUAGCGGUGAAAUGCGUAAAUAUCUGGAGGAACACCAAUGGCGAAGGCAGCCUUCUGGUCCGAUUCUGACGCUGAGGCACGAAAGCUAGGGGAGCAAACGGGAUUAGAAACCCUCGUAGUCC